AACUUAAAGGAAGUUGACGGGGGCCCGCACAAGCGGUGGAGCAUGUGGUUUAAUUCGAUGAUACGCGAGGAACCUUACCUGGGCUCAAAUGUAUGUUGACGUAUUCUGAAAGGGAUACUUCUUCGGACAAUAUACAAGGUGCUGCAUGGUUGUCGUCAGCUCGUGCCGUGAGGUGUCGGGUUAAGUCCCGCAACGAGCGCAACCCUUGCCUUUAGUUGCCAGCAGUUCGGCUGGGCACUCUAAAGGGACUGCCGGUGUUAAACCGGAGGAAGGUGGGGAUGACGUCAAGUCCUCAUGGCCUUUAUGACCAGGGCUACACACGUACUACAAUGGCCGAUACAAAGGGCAGCGACACUGCGAGGUGAAGCCAAUCCCGUAAAAUCGGUCUCAGUCCGGAUUGGAGUCUGCAACUCGACUCCAUGAAGUUGGAAUCGCUAGUAAUCGUGGAUCAGCAUGCCACGGUGAAUACGUUCCCGGGCCUU
rnacentral:rRNA from 1 species